rnacentral:rRNA from 1 species
UUAUUUGACGUUACCUACAGAAGAAGCACCGGCUAACUCCGUGCCAGCAGCCGCGGUAAUACGGAGGGGUGCGAGCGUUAAUCGGAAUUACUGGGCGUAAAGCGCAUGCAGGCGGCCUGUUAAGUCAGAUGUGAAAGCCCGGGGCUUAACCUCGGAAUUGCAUUUGAAACUGGCAGGCUAGAGUCUUGUAGAGGGGGGUAGGAAUUUCAGGUGUAGCGGUGAAAUGCGUAGAGAUCUGAAGGAAUACCAGUGGCGAAGGCGGCCCCCUGGACAAAGACUGACGCUCAGAUGCGAAAGCGUGGGGAGCAAACAGGAUUAGAUACCCCUGGUAG